GCUUGGCCAAAAAGUUCGUUCGGGUUUUUCAUACCAUCUUAUGGAAGAACCCAAAUGAACUUUUUGGCCAACC
rnacentral:miRNA from 1 species